CUGAAAUUUUCAGGACAGAUAGAUCUUUACCUGAUAAACAAUUUUUCCCAAUGUCAGAUUUGCUCUAAAUGCUUUGAUUUCAGAGUUAUAAGCCAAAAUCUACAUUUUAACCCUUUGUUCUAUUUUUAGCCAUGGCGGCCAUCUUGGUUGGUUGGCCGGUUCACUCCACUCAUUUUUUAAACUAGAUACCCCAAUGAUGAUUGUGUCCAAGUUUGGUUUAAUUUGGCCCAGUAGUUUUAGAGGAGAGUUGUAAAAGCUAACGACAGACGACGAC
rnacentral:lncRNA from 1 species